ensembl:snoRNA small nucleolar RNA U85
GUCCGAUGAUGAGACCAAGGCGAAUACGAGCUCACUGAAGGAGAGUUGGGUUUUUCUAGCCUUGACUGGCAGGUAAUCUUGGCAGUUCAGUGGAGGGUUGCUGUUCUGCUGUAAGGGCCUGCCAACAGUGACUUAGCUAUACCCAAAUUGUUAUUCCUAAAAAGUUAUUGUGGAGUGCUUUGGGUUAUGCUGACAGUGUGUGUGUGUAUGUUGUGUGGAAAAGGUCAGAAACUUACCCAGCUCUCGUAUUUAUUCAGUGAGGUAUGAGUGUGUUCUUUGGUAAUCUGAGGGCA